rnacentral:rRNA from 1 species
UACGUAGGCGGUUAGAUAAGUUGGAUGUGAAAGCCCCGGGCUCAACCUGGGAACUGCAUUCAAAACUGUCUAACUAGAGUGUAUAAGAGGUUAGCGGAAUUCCAGGUGUAGCAGUGAAAUGCGUAGAUAUCUGGAGGAACAUCAGUGGCGAAGGCGGCUGACUGGUAUAACACUGACGCUGAGGUACGAAAGCGUGGGUAGCGAACG